rnacentral:lncRNA from 1 species
UCCACUAAACCCCACUCCAAAUACCCUAGUCGUUUUGUUGGCGUUAAUAGCCAUGUCUUUCCAUUCUUCAAUAAGCUUUUGAUGGGCUUUUUGAAUUUCCUGAUGCUCAUUUUCACAUUCCCGAAUCCUUUUGCGCAAUUGGUUGUACUUAACCUAUGCUUAGCCUUUUCAUCGAUGAUCCUCUGAUCUCGAACAAAGCCCGGUUGUCCUAGCUCAUUAUGAUUGUCUUCCAACCAGCUUGGAUAGUAUGGAGUAUAACUAGUAUGGUACUUUUCCGGUUCAAU